rnacentral:rRNA from 1 species
AGAACGAACGCUGGCGGCAGGCUUAACACAUGCAAGUCGAGCGCCCCGCAAGGGGAGCGGCAGACGGGUGAGUAACGCGUGGGAAUCUACCUGGUUCUACGGAAUAACACAGGGAAACUUGUGCUAAAUACCGUAUACGCCCUAUGGGGGAAAGAUUUAUCGGUGCCAGAUGAGCCCGCGUAAGAUUAGCUAGUUGGUGGGGUAAUGGCCUACCAAGGCGACGAUCUUUAGCUGGUCUGAGAGGAUGAUCAGCCACACUGGGACUGAGACACGGCCCAGACUCCUACGGGAGGCAGCAGUGGGGAAUAUUGGACAAUGGGCGAAAGCCUGAUCCAGCCAUGCCGCGUGAGUGAUGAAGGCCUUAGGGUUGUAAAGCUCUUUCAGUGGGAAGAUAAUGACGGUACCCACAGAAGAAGCCCCGGACUAACUUCGUGCCAGCAGCCGC